AGCACUAUAUUUAAACCUGUGGAUGGGAAUUUUCCCCAUUCUUGGUUACGCUGUAGUGCGAAAUAAUUCCUGUCUCUUCUGUUGCACAGCUGACUUGUAUAAUUCUGCUGUUGCUUUAUGGAGUUAAGGAACAUGA
ensembl:snoRNA